UACAGAGGUCUCAACCGUUGUUCGGAUUCAUUGGGCGUAAAGGGUGCGUAGGCGGUCGUGCAAGUCGGAUGUGAAAUCUCAGGGCUCAACCCUGAAACUGCAUUCGAUACUGCGCGGCUAGAGUGCUGGAGGGGAGACUGGAAUUUACGGUGUAGCAGUGAAAUGCGUAGAUAUCGUAAGGAAGACCAGUGGCGAAGGCGGGUCUCUGGGCCGAUACUGACGCUGAGGAGCGAAAGCGUGGGGAGCGAACAGG
rnacentral:rRNA from 1 species